UAUCAAACAAAAAGAACAUAACAAAACUAGAAAAGCUUAAGCAUAAAUACAAUAAAAUUAAAAGAAUUUUAUAUUUCUAUCCAUACUAAUGUAUAAUGCUAUCUAGUUGAUGCAAAAAAUCAUAUAUAUAUAUAUAUGAAAGGAGGCCAACCCUCUCCAUCCUUCCGCCACGUCAGCAUUUUAGGCUAUUCUGGAGCUGACACAUCAGCUUUCUAUCUUCCAAUCAAAUCAUUUCAUUAAUUUGAUUCAGCUUUUAUUUUUUACACAUCAUCUUUUAAUUAGAAUUGUCAAAUGAGGAAAACACAAUAGCACAUGAGAGAUGGGCCAUAUGGAUUUGAAAAUCUAUUUCACAAGUUAAUAAUAUAUUGAUUUCUACUAAUACUAACUUAUUUUGUUAUUUUAUAUUUUUUCAAUGAAAUUAUUUUUAUUGGUUUAAUAUACUCCAAAGUUUUUUUCGAAAAUUUUUGUAAUCUUAACUCAAAAUAUGAGUGGAUAAUUGUAUAGUGGAUUAGCUAAUGGUUUGAAUAAGUUUUUCUCUUAAUUUUUUUUAUCUAUAUAUGACACUGAGGGGGGGGAGUACGUAAGGUCAUCAAAUUUUUGAGGUUCUACAAUCCAAACAUUACCAUUUAUAAAAUUGGUUUAGGACAAAGGUUGGUUACGGAUUGUGUGAGUGAUGCAUUGUUGAGUAUGUUGGUUGAAAAUGUAUUUUAAUACUAAGAGUAGUUGUUCAUUGCAUGAGUAAAUGAUUA
rnacentral:lncRNA from 1 species